rnacentral:rRNA from 1 species
GGCGAACGGAUGAGUAACACGUGGGUGAUCUGCCCAGCACUUCGGGAUAAGCCUGGGAAACUGGGUCUAAUACCGGAUAGGACGAUGGUUUGGAUGCCAUUGUGGAAAGUUUUUCGGUGUGGGAUGAGCUCGCGGCCUAUCAGCUUGUUGGUGGGGUAAUGGCCUACCAAGGCGUCGACGGGUAGCCGGCCUGAGAGGGUGUACGGCCACAUUGGGACUGAGAUACGGCCCAG